rnacentral:lncRNA from 1 species
AAUUUUUUUUUUUUUUUAAACAUGUUCAGAACAGGCAACAUUAUUUGGAUAUGAUAUAAACUGCAGUUUAAAUAAAAUUGUGCAAAUUAAGAGACCCAUAUUAUUUAAUUUGAGCUCAUUUUAUCCUCAUACUGGAAAAGCAUGUUUCCUUCUAAAGACCUGCUGUUAAUGCAAUUUUCAGCAAUAGUGCUUUAUUAAUGAUCAUUUUUCCCCACCAUACCUUAAUAUGAAAUUAUUCAAAAAACUACUCUUCUAAUCUUUCCAUGAGUGAUUUCCAUCACUUUGAUUAGU